rnacentral:rRNA from 1 species
UACGAAGGGGGCUAGCGUUGCUCGGAAUCACUGGGCGUAAAGGGUGCGUAGGCGGGUUUUAAGUCAGGGUGAAAUCCUGGAGCUCAACUCCAGAACUGCCUUUGAUACUGAAGAUCUUGAGUCCGGGAGAGGUGAGUGGAACUGCGAGUGUAGAGGUGAAAAUUCGUAGAUAUUCGCAAGAACACCAGUGGCGAAGGGCGGCUCACUGGCCCCGGUACUGACGCUGAGGCACGAAAAAGCGUGGGGAGCAAACAGGG